AACUAACGCUGGCGGCGUGCCUAACACAUGCAAGUCGUACGAGAAAGUUGGCUUCGGCCGAUGAGUAAAGUGGCGCACGGGUGAGUAACGCGUGGAUAAUCUGCCCUUCAGUUGGGAAUAACGUACCGAAAGGUGCGCUAAUACCGAAUAAUACUGCACAUCUUCUGUUGUGCAGUCAAAGAUGGCCUCUGCUUGCAAGCUUUCGCUGAAGGAUGAGUCCGCGUACCAUUAGCUAGUUGGUAGGGUAAUGGCCUACCAAGGCAACGAUGGUUAGCUGGUCUGAGAGGAUGAUCAGCCACACUGGAACUGAGACACGGUCCAGACUCCUACGGGAGGCAGCAGUGAGGAAUAUUGCGCAAUGGGGGAAACCCUGACGCAGCAACGCCGCGUGAGUGAAGAAGGCCUGCGGGUUGUAAAGCACUUUUGGCAGGGAUGAAAAGCACUGGAUUAAUAACCCAGUGUGUUGACCUAACCUGCAGAAGAAGCACCGGCUAACUCUGUGCCAGCCGCCGCGGUAAAAC
rnacentral:rRNA from 1 species